rnacentral:rRNA from 1 species
AUUACUAAGCGGAGGAAAAGAAACUAACUAGGAUUCCCUUAGUAGCUGCGAGCGAACAGGGAUAAGCCCAGCACCGAAUCUCACGGAUGAUUUCAGACGUUGAGAAAUGUGGUGUUAGGGAGGAUUCAUUAUCUUGUCGUUGUACGGUGCGUCCAAGUCCUUCUUGAACGGGGCCACAGCCCAUAGAGGGUGCCAGGCCCGUAGUGACCACUGUCGAUAACAAGAGAAUCUCUCCUCAGAGUCGGGUUGCUUGAGAGUGCAGCCCUAAGUGGGUGGUAAACUCCAUCUAAGGCUAAAUAUGACCACGAGACCGAUAGCGAACAAGUACCGUGAGGGAAAGUUGAAAAGCACUUUGAAGAGAGAGUUCAAGAGUACGUGAAACCGUUUAGGUGUAAACCUGAGAAGCCCGAAAGAUCGAAUGAAGAAAUUCAUCGCGUUUCAUUGUUAGUUGAGUCUUGUGCUGUGACAAAAUUGUCUUUAUGGCAGUUGUGCACGCAUAAGGCAUCUGAUCUCUCGAUGUACGUGUGCAUUUUUCUUCAUGUAGGACGUCGCGAUCUGUUGAGUGUCGGUCUACGGCCCAUCAGGGAGCCCAGCAAGUGUACUCAAUCUUGUAUUGAUCAUUUGUUGGACCUGUGUGGUGUCCUGGCCGACUUGCUCGACGGUAUGCAGAUGACGUGAAGACGCGGCUUUUAGAGUACGCGUCCGACCCAUGGCAAGCGCGCCUGGUUUUCUGAUAGCAAUCGGACCUAGUGCCGAUUCUGUCGCCAGGUGACUGUUGGCUAUGGUGCUCUCGGACAGUCUUCAAUUGAAACGUCAAUCAGCGACGCUUUAGCUUUGGGUAAUUUCAGGACCCGUCUUGAAACACGGACCAAGGAGUCUAGCAUGUACGCAAGUCAUUGGGACUAGACUAAACCUAAAGGCGUAAUGAAAGUAAAGGUUCGCCUUGCGCGGAUCAAGGGAAGACGAUUGUUCACAGAUUUACUCUGUAUCAGUCUGCAUUCCCGGGGCGUCUCAUUCUCAUUGCGAGAAGAGGCGCACCAAGAGCGUACACGCUGGGACCCGAAAGAUGGUGAACUAUGCCUGGUCAGGACGAAGUCAGGGGAAACCCUGAUGGAGGUCCGUAGCGAUUCUGACGUGCAAAUCGAUCGUCGGAACUGGGUAUAGGGGCGAAAGACUAAUCGAACCAUCUAGUAGCUGGUUCCCUCCGAAGUUUCCCUCAGGAUAGCUGGCGCUCGUUGCGUACGAGUUUCAUCUGGUAAAGCGAAUGAUUAGAGGCAUUGGGGUCGAAACGACCUCAACCUAUUCUCAAACUUUAAAUGGGUGAGAACUCCGGCUUGCUUAUGUGAAGCCGCGAGAUAAACAAUUUUUAAAAUUGAAUCAGAGUGCCAAGUGGGCCAUUUUUGGUAAGCAGAACUGGCGCUGUGGGAUGAACCAAACGCCGAGUUAAAGCGCCUAAAUUGACGCUUAUGGGAUACCAUGAAAGGCGUUGGUAACUUAAGACAGCAGGACGGUGGCCAUGGAAGUCGGAAUCCGCCAAGGAGUGUGUAACAACUCACCUGCCGAAGUUACUAGCCCUGAAAAUGGAUGGCGCUGAAGCGUCGUGCUUAUACUCGGCCGUCAGCGGCAUGUGCGGUCGGUCUCUUUCNGGGGACGGCCAUGAAGCCCUGACGAGUAGGAGGGUCGCGGCGGUGAGCGCASAAGGGCUGGCCGUGAGGCCGUCUGGAGCCGCCGUCGGUGCAGAUCUUGGUGGUAGUAGCAAAUACUCCAGCGAGGCCCUGGAGGACUGACGUGGAGAAGGGUUUCGUGUGAACAGCCGUUGCACACGAGUCAGUCGAUCCUAAGCCCUAGGCGAAAGCCGAGGUUGAUGCGGUGUAGGUUUACAGCGUAAAGCACACACCCGUCGGGCGAAAGGGAAUCCGGUUCCUAUUCCGGAACCCGGCAGCGGAACCGCUAAUAAUUCGGGCCCUCGCAAGAGAGUUCGUCGGGGCAACCCAAAAGGACCCGGAGACGCCGUCGGGAGAUCCGGGAAGAGUUUUCUUUUCUGCAUGAGCGUUCGAGUUCCAUGGAAUCCUUUAGCAGGGAGAUAUGGUUUGGAACGCGAAGAGCACCGCAGUUGCAGCGGUGUCCGGAUCUUCCCCUCGGACCUUGAAAAUCCGGGAGAGGGCCACGUGGAGGCGUCGCGCCGGUUCGUACCCAUAUCCGCAGCAGGUCUCCAAGG